AAAUAUACCGACUUUGCGCUUAAAUGUGAAGUGUUUGUCACAGUGUUCGAAGCAGAUUCAAGACCGUUAAAUUGACAACAAUGACAAUCAAAAAGAAUACCACAAAGCUUCUGAAGCACCAAAACUGUGGCAACAUAUUCAGGCUGCUAAGAAGGUGUCAAUCAACAAGAGUUACAACUGAUUGAAUGUGCCUUUAUUUAAUUAACAAUGUUAAAUGUGUUGUUAUUAUUAAUACUACUGUUAUUAAAUCAAUUCCUUUAACAUACUGUAAA